GACUCGUCACACUAUCAUUAACUGAAUCCAUAGGUUAAUGAGGCGAACCGGGGGAACUGAAACAUCUAAGUACCCCGAGGAAAAGAAAUCAACCGAGAUUCCCCCAGUAGCGGCGAGCGAACGGGGAGGAGCCCAGAGCCUGAAUCAGCAUGUGUGUUAGUGGAAGCGUCUGGAAAGGCGCGCGAUACAGGGUGACAGCCCCGUACACAAAAGCGCAUGUGCUGUGAGCUCGAUGAGUAGGGCGGGACACGUGGUAUCCUGUCUGAAUAUGGGGGGACCAUCCUCCAAGGCUAAAUACUCCUGACUGACCGAUAGUGAACCAGUACCGUGAGGGAAAGGCGAAAAGAACCCCGGCGAGGGGAGUGAAAAAGAACCUGAAACCGUGUACGUACAAGCAGUGGGAGCCCCACCACUAAGCCAGUGGUGAACUCCACAUACGCAUCCUUUGCUGAGGAUACGGUUAACGGAGCGAAAGCGACGUUCAACCGCAAAAGAAGCAGAGGGGGCUUAGUGGUGGGGUGACUGCGUACCUUUUGUAUAAUGGGUCAGCGACUUAUAUUCUGUAGCAAGGUUAACCGAAUAGGGGAGCCGGAGGGAAACCGAGUCUUAAUUGGGCGUUAAGUUGCAGGGUAUAGACCCGAAACCCGGUGAUCUAGCCAUGGGCAGGUUGAAGGUUGGGUAACACUAACUGGAGGACCGAACCGACUAAUGUUGAAAAAUUAGCGGAUGACCUGUGGCUGGGGGUGAAAGGCCAAUCAAACCGGGAGAUAGCUGGUUCUCCCCGAAAGCUAUUUAGGUAGCGCCUCGUGAAUUCAUCUCCGGGGGUAGAGCACUGUUUCGGCUAGGGGGCCAUCCCGGCUUACCAACCCGAUGCAAACUGCGAAUACCGGAGAAUGUUAUCACGGGAGACACACGGCGGGUGCUAACGUCCGUCGUGAAGAGGGAAACAACCCAGACCGCCAGCUAAGGUCCCAAAGUCAUGGUUAAGUGGGAAACGAUGUGGGAAGGCCCAGACAGCCAGGAUGUUGGCUUAGAAGCAGCCAUCAUUUAAAGAAAGCGUAAUAGCUCACUGGUCGAGUCGGCCUGCGCGGAAGAUGUAACGGGGCUAAACCAUG
rnacentral:rRNA from 1 species